GCACAAGCAGUGGAGUAUGUGGUUUAAUUCGACGCAACGCGAAGAACCUUACCAAGUCUUGACAUCCUGCGACGAUGCUAGAAAUAGUAUUUUCCUUCGGGACGCAGAGACAGGUGGUGCAUGGUUGUCGUCAGCUCGUGUCGUGAGAUGUUGGGUUAAGUCCCGCAACGAGCGCAACUCUUAUGGUCAGUUACUACGCAAGAGGACUCUGGCCAGACUGCCGUUGACAAAA
rnacentral:rRNA from 1 species